ensembl:lncRNA
UUAUUAUUAUGUGUAUAUGUGUGUGUAGUAUGUGUAAUGAGUAUGGUGUCUGUUAGGAGCGGCAUACAGACCCACUGCGAUCAGAGGAGGCCUGAAACAAGGAUAUGGAACACUUGGAGGUUAUGGAGGAGGUAUGUCAUUCCUAAAACUAUAAUGGGCAGAUAUCAGUUUCUACAUCUGAUGGAUUUAUAAUUCUUGCAUCCUUACCAUGGUCCUGCUCUUUUGGUCUUAGCUGCAAACCUUGGAACUGGCCUUGGAACUGGCCUCGGGGCUGCUGGGCUGGGACUCGGCACAGGGUAUGGCCUAGGCAACGGGCUGGGAGCAGCCUUAGGUUAUCCAGCAGGGAAGCUCGGAGGAAGAGGUGAGAGCUGCUCAUUUGCUUUCAGUUCAGAAGGACUAUUGCAACACUUACUCACUGUUUGAUUUUGACAUUUUCUAGGUUACACCAGUAAUGGCUAUGGAGCACAGCUAGGUGAGUGACCCAAAUCAAUAAACAUCAAAUGACACAUGCCAGUUUAAUGCCAUCUCUUUCCGACCCGAAGGUUGUGUAGCAGACUGGAUCUGAUCUAACCAAUCAAAAUUUGACCUUGUGCUGUGGUUAAAAAUCUUUCACACGUAGUGAUGUAUGCUGUCCAUUUGUCAUGAUUAGGUGUCAUAUUUUUGAUCAAGAUAUGUGAGAGUGAGAGUUUAUGUGUCUACCAUGAGAGGCUUCCGCUAAACAGGCAUUUAUUUCUUCUUUCUGUAACCUAAACAUCUCUCUUGUUUGGUUGCCAGGUUAUGGCGCAGGAGGAUACCCCGGCGCUGGACGCGGAUAUGGUGUACCAGCUGGCACACCCACAGGGCAAGGCUCAAAACCAUCAAAACAGGGAUACGGCCUUGGUGCUGCUGGUUAUCUUGGAGCUGGUUAUACUGACGGUUAUGGAGCAGGUAUCUAGAAAUUGUGAAAUAUUGUUUCUCUCUCAAAGGUCCCAGUAUCAUUAA